rnacentral:lncRNA from 1 species
UAAGAUGAUGACGCAUAUUCUCAAGAGUUGAGAAUUUGAGGCAUGUGUCAUUGGUGAUUAAUUUCUGAAUUGCUCCUGAUCGAUGGAUCAUCACGAGGACGGUGAUCGAUCCACUGAGAUUAGUGCACAGAUCGCUUUCUUUGAUGGACGAGUCUUGAGUCCACAGGCGACACUGGAGCAAUUGUGCAAGUGCUUGUUAGAGAACAAGGGUACUGAACGUGGCCAUAGCAAGUAGUCACUUGGAUGUCUAUCCACUCGUCAGUGACUUACUUGAUGCUGCAGUUGUAUGACUGGUCCUUUGACCUGCGAUGCCUCGGCUAUUCACAGUGAGGUUGCUGUAGUUUGACGAGCACAUAAACAUGAGCCCUAGCCAAUUGGGUUCUUGUGGUGCAGAUUGGCUGCAGUAGGUUUAUUGUAGGAGUAGGGGUGCAUCUAGAUGGAAUCUAUCGACCUUGAUAGGUUAAGAGAGAUCCUAUGUGAUUUAUGAGACUGAGUUCGUAAAUCCUCGGCCGGGGUAGUAUGUAUAGUGAAAAAGGAGUUUUCCACUCUCGAACUUAAGUCGAAUAAAUUUUGACAUAUGACAGACGAUAGGGGUUUGACGAGUUAUCCAUGACCUCGUCUUGUCGGGAUCUACGAUAGAGGGAUUGUAUCAUACACUAACUACACCUAGAGGUUCAUCAUUCCAUUUUGCUGGGUUGCCACUACAUGCUGCUAGGU